GCAGAGGUGCGGACGGUCGCUUCAUGCCGGGAGCAUGAAGAGGAAAGUCCGGGCAACACAGAGCAGCAUACUUUCUAACGGAAAGCCGGCGGCGACGCCGGGGACAAUGUGACAGAAAACAACCGCCCUCCCGUCUUAGCGCCGUUGAGGCGCAGGAGACGGCGCGGGCAAGGGUGAAAAGGCGGGGUAAGAGCCCACCGCCCGUAUGGCGACAUGCGGGGCCGCACAUCCUAUGCGUUGCAAGGCCAAGUAUACCGGCAGUUAAGGAUGGCUCGUCCAUUGCCGGGGGGUAGGCCGCUAAAGUACGCGUGCAAACGCGGUGACUCAGAUAAAUGACCGUCAGGGUCGUGGACUCCGGCUGCAGGAGCAUCAUGAGGCGGCUUCGUGCCGGCCUCCGUAUCUCCGGGGCAGCAUCCACUCCCCUACAUAACCCGGCUUACAGCACCUCUGCCAUC
rnacentral:RNase_P_RNA from 1 species